rnacentral:ncRNA from 1 species
CCAAUAGAACCCAAGAGCAUAUGGUGGAUGCCUAGGCACUAAGAGGCGAUGAAGGACGUGGCGUAGCUGCGAAAAGUUCCGGGGAGGUGUGUAGCAACCUUUGAUCCGGAAAUCUCCGAAUGAGGCAACUCAUACUGUUUGAAUACAGUAUAUCCGACUGAGUCGGAAGCGAACCCAGGGAAGUGAAACAUCUCAGUACCUGGAGGAAAAAAGAACAAUCGUUAUUCCCGAAGUAGCGGCGAGCGAAAGGGGAAGAGCCCAAACCUGAAUGCGCCGCACGUGCUCUGCGUAAGUGGAGUUCGUGCGGCAUGUUUAGGGGUAGUACGGUAGGGACGGAGUUUACUCGGAAAGUGAAAAAAUGCGUGUAUAGAAGAAUUUGCUGGAAAGCAAGGCCCCAGAAGGUGAUAGCCCUGUAGUCGAAAUGCACACAACUUUCUUGUCCCUAUUCGUGA